rnacentral:rRNA from 1 species
UACGUAGGGUGCAAGCGUUGUCCGGAAUUAUUGGGCGUAAAGAGCUCGUAGGCGGUCUGUCACGUCGGCUGUGAAAACCCAGGGCUCAACCCUGGGCUUGCAGUGGAUACGGGCAGACUAGAGGUAGGUAGGGGAGAAUGGAAUUCCCGGUGUAGCGGUGAAAUGCGCAGAUAUCGGGAGGAACACCGGUGGCGAAGGCGGCUCUCUGGGACGGUACUGACGCUGAGACGCGAAAGCGUGGGGAGCGAACAGG